rnacentral:tRNA from 1 species
GGACAGGUGGCCGAGUGGUUGAAGGCGCUCGCCUGGAAAGCGGGUAUACGUUAAUAGCGUAUCGAGGGUUCGAAUCCCUCUCUGUCCGCCA